AACGAACGCUGGCGGCAGGCUUAAUACAUGCAAGUCGAGCGCCCCGCAAGGGGAGCGGCAGACGGGUGAGUAACGCGUGGGAAUCUACCCAUCUCUACGGAAUAACGCAUGGAAACGUGUGCUAAUACCGUAUACGUCCUUCGGGAGAAAGAUUUAUCGGAGAUGGAUGAGCCCGCGUUGGAUUAGCUAGUUGGUGGGGUAAAGGCCUACCAAGGCGACGAUCCAUAGGUGGUCUGAGAGGAUGAUCAGCGACACUGAGACUGAGACACGGCCCAGACUCCUACGGGAGGCAGCAGUGGGGAAUAUUGGACAAUGGGCGCAAGCCUGAUCCAGCCAUGCCGCGUGAGUGAUGAAGGCCCUAGGGUUGUAAAGCUCUUUCACCGGUGAAGAUAAUGACGGUAACCGGAGAAGAAGCCCCGGCUAACUUCGUGCCAGCCGCCGCCGUAAAAC
rnacentral:rRNA from 1 species